rnacentral:rRNA from 1 species
AAAGAAAAGCCCUAUACCCGUUAAGGCAUGACGGCCUGUACCCGAAACCGACACAGGUGGGGUGGUAGAGAAUACCGAGGGGCGCGAGAUAACUCUCUCUAAGGAACUCGGCAAAAUGGCCCCGUAACUUCGGGAGAAGGGGUGCCACCGCAAGGUGGUCGCAGUAAGAGGCCCAGGCGACUGCUUACCAAAAACACAGGUCUCCGCUAAGUCGCAAGACGAUGUAUGGGGGUUGACGCCUGCCCAGUGCCGGAAGGUUAAGGAAGCUGGUCAGCGCAAGCGAAGCUAGCGACUGAAGCCCCGGUGAACGGCGGCCGUAACUAUAACGGUCCUAAGGUAGCGAAAUUCCUUGUCGGGUAAGUUCCGACCCGCACGAAAGGCGUAACGAUCUGGGCGCUGUCUCGGAGAGAGGCUCGGCGAAAUAGAAUUGUCUGUGAAGAUGCGGACUACGUGCACCCGGACAGAAAGACCCUAUGAAGCUUUACUGUAGCUUGGUAUUGUGCCCGGGCUCUGAAUGCGCAGGAUAGGUGGGAGGCUUUGAUCCAUUGCUUGUGGGUAAUGGUGAGCCACUGGUGAGAUACCACUCUUUCAGAGCUAGGGUUCUAACGGUCACCCGUUAUCCGGGGACCGGACAGUAUCAGGUGGGCAGUUUGACUGGGGUGGUCGCCUCCUAAAAGGUAACGGAGGCGCGCAAAGGUUCCCUCAGGCUGGUUGGAAAUCAGCCGACGAGUGUAAAGGCAGAAGGGAGCUUGACUGUGAGACCUACAAGUCGAACAGGGACGAAAGUCGGCCUUAGUGAUCCGACGGUUCUGAGUGGAAGGGCCGUCGCUCAACGGAUAAAAGUUACUCUAGGAUAACAGGCUGAUCUCCCCCAAGAGUUCACAUCGACGGGGAGGUUUGGCACCUCGAUGUCGGCUCAUCGCAACCUGGGGCUGAAGUCGGUCCCAAGGGUUGGGCUGUUCGCCCAUUAAAGCGGUACGCGAGCUGGGUUCAGAACGUCGUGAGACAGCUCGGUCCAUAUCCGGUGCACGCGCAGGAACAUUGAGAGGAUUUCUCCCUAGUACGAGAGGACCGGGAGGAACGCACCUCUGGUGUACCAGUUAUCGUGCCAACGGUAAACGCUGGGUAGCCAUGUGCGGAGCGGAUAACCGCUGAAAGCAUCUAAGUGGGAAGCCCACCUCAAGAUGAGUGUUCCCAUGGCAUAAGCCAGUAAGGUCACGGGAAGAACACCCGUUGAUAGGCUCUACGUGGAAGCGUGGCAACACGUGAAGCGGAGGAGUACUAAUAGACC